GAGUAAGCAAGAGAGAGAGAAAGAAAGACAGAGAGCGCGGGAGGGGAAGAAUAAUUGGAAUCGAGCGGCGUAGGUGUGUCAGUGUUCGGCCUUCCCCGCGAUAAUGCUGUUGUCAUCGAGAUGCCGAGAUUCACACGUAGACUCGCGCGACUCCCAGUGUUCUGAGUCGCGAUCACGACUUACAUUCCUUCGAGUAUCUUUUGGACGGUGAAUAAAAUAAACAAUACGUAAAACUACGAAAGACUGACCGACAGAAAGAAAGAGAGAGAGCAACUCAACGUACAUCUCGUGCUCUACCAAAAGAAGAUUAGAAGAGGAACGAGAGUGUUCGCAAAUUUUUCUUUUCUCUAUCACUCUCGGUUUCUUUCCUCUUAGUUUUUUGUCUUUACCGAACAAACGAACGGCAAGCAUAUCGCUAAUAUUGAAGUUUCUAGAAGACAGAAAAAAUCCUUUUCUGUCUCUCUCUCUCUCUCUCUCUCUCUCUCUAUCUCUCUCUCUUUUUCUCUCUCUCUCUCAUUCCUCUCUCUCUCUUUCUCUCUCUCUCAUUCCUCUCUCUCUCUCUCUCUCUCUUUCUUUCGCAUCAAUCGGUUUUCAUUUUUGGCGAAAUAUGUACGCAAGAAAACUUGCCUGAAUGAAACCGAAACUACGAACCGGGAAAAAGGGCAAGAUAAUUGCUUGAGUUCCCUUAAAUUUUGAUUAUUACUAUCGCCGUGCUUUCUGUUCUGCGCUAAGGUCCUCGUUGAUUGGACGUCAACAGAAACUGAGAGGGAAGGAAAGUGAGAGAGAUAGAGAUAUCGAACUUGGUACUGUCGAACGGCACAGGAGUAAAAUAGUAGUAUAGCGCAACGAUUUAGUGAAUAAAAAGUGGGAGGAGUGAAGAAUUACACAGAUGAUGGAGGGGAAACAUGACGGUGGCCGGUGCUCUGUAAGGUUUUUCGCGGUGUAGAAGUGUACUCAACCGUUCUUAUUCGUCGCGUUUACUUUUGUGCGAUCGAUUCGAACGAAGAGAGAACGAACCAUAACGUAUCUCGAUUUCGAGUGGUCCAAUUCUGUUAUAGUUGUUCAUUUUUAUGAUUGUAAAAAAAAAAGGAAUUAGUGAAAGAAGAAGAGAAGUCGUAUGUACAACGAACAAAGGUGAAAGGAAAAAAGAAAGAAAAGUAUUCAGUGGCCCUUCUAUAUAUUGGACAUGAGCACGACUUUUCGUGUUCGUUCGUUGUUGUCAUCGCCGUCGUCAUCGUCGUUGUCGUUAUCAUCAUUAUCAUCAUCAUCAUCAUCAUCAUCAUCAUCAUCAUCAUCAUCGCUACCGGGAAUAAAGUGCCGCCGAUUCUUUCGUUUACGAUACGAAUAUCAUCGGUAGAGGAUCGUUUCAACGCAGAUUAUUCAACCGGUCGCUGCUUUUUGUGAAACGAACGUCCGAGCGUCGACAAACUCUACGAUAGCGUUAAGCUUCACGAGUACGACGUCAGAGGGGCGGCGAUACGCGACUUCCGUGCGUGCCUCUUCGCGCUCCGCCUACCAGUUACCGUCGCUAGUUCCGCGAGAGAGGACUAACGUCCUCCUCUUUUUUUCAUAUUUUACAUCUUUUCCUUUUAUUUUUUUUUUUUCUUCUUUUUUGAAUGUCGUUCAAUUUGAUCGAUCCAACGAAAACUCGCGGACGAAGGAAGCGAAGACCAAGGAAAAUGAUUAAGUGAGAGGAGGAGGAGGAAGAAGAAGAAGAAGGAGAAGAAGAAGAAGAAGAAAAAGAAGAAGAAAAGAAGAAGUAGAAGAAGAAGAAGAAGAAGAAGAAGACGACGUACGGUAGAGUGGAGUAGUGUGCGUGUGUGCGUAUGUGAGUGAGAAAGAGAGGAAGAAAAAGUGAGAGAAGAAAGCAGCAAUAUAUAUCCCUUCGUUUCUCUACAUCACUAUUCUCUCUCUCUCUCUCUCUCCCUCUCUCUCUCUCUCUCUCUCUCUCUCUACUUAUCUAUGUAUAUAUCUCUAUCUCUCUUGUUUUGCUAUCUCUCACUCUCGCGCACGUGUGCUUCUUUAUAAAGUGUAGUGUAGUGUAGUGUGUGUGUGUGUGUGUUUCGUUCAUUACCUACACUCCACUGACCGAUCAUUGCUGUCGCCGCCGCCGUCGUCAUCAUUGUUGUUGUCGUCGCUGUUAUCAUUGUCAUCGUCAUCGUCAUCAUUAUCGUCAUCAACAUCGUUAUUUGUCCUUUUGCGCGCUGAAGUGAUCAGAAUUUACGGGCGUGUUAGCGAAAAGAAAGAGAGAAAAGGGUGAGAAGAAAGGAGAGGAGGUGGGGAGGUGGGAAAGAAGUGAAAAUAAAAUAGCGACAUCAAAAUGUGGAGUGCGAUGUGUGACGUGAUGCCAACGAUCGCGGAGGACAGUAUCAGCCAAAGAAGUUCGCAAUUCUCUGGCGAUGAUGCGAACUUCGAACAAUUAAUGGUUUCGAUGUUGGACGAAAGGGACAAGCUAAUGGAUUCGUUGCGUGAGUGUCAGGAACGGGUACAGGAGGCUGAGACCAGGGUGAGGGAACUUGAGAAGGAACGGGACUCGCUCAAUCGUCAAAUUUAUGCCAACAUUCCGCAGGAACUGUCACAAUUAACAAAAGAAUUAGCAGCGGCACGUGAAAACAUUUUACAGAGAGAAGAAGAAAUAUCAGAAUUGAAAGCAGAACGGAACAACACACGUCUUCUACUGGAACAUCUUGAAUGUUUGGUUUCUCGACACGAACGAUCGCUAAGGAUGACGGUCGUAAAACGUCAAGCCGCGGCACAAUCGGGCGUGUCGUCGGAAGUUGAAGUACUAAAAGCUUUAAAGAGUUUGUUCGAACAUCAUAAAGCUUUGGACGAGAAGGUACGCGAACGAUUGCGCGUAGCUCUCGAAAGGAAUACGAGCCUUGAAGAGGAAUUGGCCCAUACCAAAGAAGAGCUCCAACAGUAUAAAGUAAGUGGAAUUACGCCUAAAGCCAUAGAUGACAAACCUAAAGAAAAUGGUCAAACAGACGAUGGUCAACAACAAAACAAGAAUGAGACUGAGCAGGCUGAAAGUCAGCAGGAGCCACAACAGCAGCUUCAACAGCAACUACAGCAGCAGCAGCAGCAGCAGCAACACGCAAUACAAAAGCUAGGUACAGAGAAGCCAACAGAGAUAGCAAGCAGAUUGAGCAAUGGCAGUCUUGAUCCAUCCGACCAGGAUUCGGCAGUACGAGUAAUAGACUUGCAAGCCACUCUUGAUAAGCAGAGUACUGAGUUAAGUACAUGGCAACGGCGUGUAGCAGAAUUGAGCGGACGAGUUGCAGAAUUAGAAGAAACACUCUCUAAAACUCAGAAGGAUCUUUUAAAAACUCAGGAAAUUAAUGUUAAGUUGCAAAGAGAUCUGCGUGAAAAUGUUGCACAGAAAGAGGACCAAGAAGAAAGGAUUGCAACUCUUGAAAAACGUUAUCUCAAUGCUCAACGGGAAUCAACUAGCUUACAUGAUCUCAAUGAGAAAUUAGAACAGGAGCUUCAACAUAAAAAGGCUCAAUUAAAGCUUCAAGAAGAAAAGAUAGCAGCUAUACAAGAAAAAUUGGAACUUGCUGAACAAAAAUUAACCCAAUAUGCUAAGUUACCUGAAAUGGAAGAACAAUUGAAGCAGAGGAUGGAGGCUCUGACCCAGGUGAGGAGGCCCAACCAGCAGGCCCAGGAAAGGCAUGGUAGUGCAGAAGAUAGAAUACAAAGGUUAGAAGCACAAUUAGAAGAGAAAAAUGCAGAAGUAAUGCGUGUCAAUCAACGACUUAAGAUGAAUGAGGAACAUAAUACUCGAUUAAGUGCAACCGUUGAUAAACUUUUAUCUGAAUCUAAUGACAGGUUACAGACACAUUUAACAGAAAGAAUGGAAGCAAUAGAAGAAAAGAAUGCGAUAACGCAGGAACUUGAAAAGACAAGGAAAGUAGCUGAAGAUUUACAAAAUGAAAAAGCAGAUAUUGUUAAAGAACUAGGAAAAGCACGUCUCGAAAUUGAUAAUGUAAAGAGACAAAUGCUUCAGCAAGAAAUUGCUUUUAAUAUACAACAAACGGAUGCAUUGACUAGAAGUCUUUCUCCAAAUGCUGUGGAUCCUGGUUCAUUUUCUAGAAGUGCAAGUCAUAGUAGUUUUGACACACAUUCAUUACCUAGGAGAGGAGGCAAAAGAGCUGUGAUAGAAGAGGAUGCUUCAAAGAAUUAUGUAGUACGUACUCUUGCGGAACAAGAAUGGGAAAAACUUCAACAAGCUCAUGUUCUAGCAAAUGUGCAACAAGCAUUUGAUGUUUCCAGCGACGCUGAAGGUGACGGUGAUAAUGAAAGUAUCUUCAGUUGUUCGGCAGAGGUAAUUAGUCCUGCAGGACAUACCGAUGCUCAAACACUUGCGCUAAUGUUACAAGAACAAUUAGAUGCUAUCAAUAAUGAGAUUAGAUUAAUUCAGGAAGAAAAACAGAACACCGAAGCACGAGCAGAAGAAUUAGAAUCUCGAGUAGGUAGCUUUGAACAUAUGAAUUUAUUAGCAAGAGGACGCAGUCUCGAGCGAGCGUCACCUCCAUUAAGUGGUCGCUCUACACCAAAAUCACAUCACAGCCCUAACAGAGAUUAUUUACACAAAUAUCACACAGCACCAGCAUCAAUGUCUCCUGCUCAUUUACAUCAGUAUGCUGCAUCCCUUGCUAGUCCUGGACAACUUUCAGAAUCACUUCCUGCAAGCCAGUUGCAGUUGUCUGGAGAAGAACUGCAUUCAGUGAGUGAAAGAGACAGCGUUGGUGGUGCUGGAAGUGCUAGCAGCGAUGCCGCUUCCCCAUUGACAGCCAGAUCACUCAGAUUAGAACGUGUUGUGCAAGCACUUGCUCAUAGCCAGGAAGAGCUAAGAAGACGUACUGGACAAACAGGAUUCCCCAGCAGUGGCUUUUCCCCACACAGCAGGCAUGGACAACAUAGCAACGGCGCACUCAAUUCUGGGACUCCUCCUUCCCCAUUGUCCUCACGCCACAGUAGCCAGGACAGUUUACACAAGAACAAUCUAUCCAGUGUUGGACUACCCAUUGGACAAUUGUCGAGUUCGCAUCUGCACAUGCAAACAACCAUGAGUCCAGCAACAGCAGCUGCAGUGGCAGCAGCUCAGAAGAAAAAAGGCAUAAAGAGCAGUCUUGGUAGAUUUUUCAGUAAAAAGGAAAAGAUAAAAGGAAAGGAUACAACGAUGCCUGGAGAUGUACCUGGUAUGGGAGGUGCGAGUACACCAGCAGAUCCUGAUUAUGGAGAUAGCGUCUCUGUGGCAGGAACAUUAGGGAGCAAGAGUGAUUUUGAUCGAAGAAAAAAGAAAAGUCCCAGUAUGUUUGGUAGUAUGCUGGAUUCUUCACGACAUGAGCUAUUGGCUGAAGCGAUGAAAGCUGGAACACCUUUUGCUCUGUGGAACGGACCAACUGUUGUUGCUUGGCUGGAGCUUUGGGUUGGCAUGCCUACCUGGUACGUUGCGGCAUGUCGAGCUAACGUCAAAAGUGGUGCUAUAAUGAGUGCAUUGAGUGACACCGAAAUACAACGUGAGAUCGGUAUCAGUAACUCUUUGCACCGAUUGAAAUUGAGACUAGCUAUCCAGGAAAUGGUGUCACUUACAAGUCCAUCUGCACCUAAAACUUCUCGCACAACAUUAGCUUUUGGAGAUAUGAAUCACGAAUGGAUAGGAAAUGUAUGGUUGCCGAGUCUUGGAUUACCCCAAUAUCGAUCCACUUUCAUGGAGUGCCUUGUUGACGCUAGAAUGUUGGAUCACCUCACUAAAAAGGAUCUGCGUGGUCAACUUAGGAUGAUUGAUAGUUUUCAUAGAACAAGUUUGCAGUACGGGAUUUCGUGUUUGAAGAGAUUAAAUUAUGACAGACAACAGUUAGAGGAAAGAAGAAGAAUGGCAGAAGGAGCUAAUGUAGAUGUUCUUGUAUGGAGUAACGAUAGAGUCAUACGAUGGGUGCAAUCGAUCGGUCUAAAGGAAUAUGGAAACCAUCUUUUAGAAUCUGGAGUACAUGGUGCCCUAAUUGCUUUGGAUGAAAGUUUUGAUGCAAAUAAUUUUGCUCUCACUUUGCAAAUUCCUACACAAAAUACACAGGCAAGACAACUUUUAGAAAUGGAAUUUGCAAAUUUAUUAACGGUAGGAACAGAGAGGCGACCAGACGUUUCUAAUAUGAAAUCCUGAUCCAACUCGUCAAACAGAUUGCCCCAUCUUCAACCCCAUCAUGUCUAGUCCAGAACCCCAGCUAUUACUACUGUCUGUACGCAAGUGUGUUGUAAAAGUUAUACUGAAAUGUAGGAGGUGGUCAUGUGUCGCAUCUGCAUUCAAAGGAAUUGCAGUAUAUCUCCUCGAAGGCCAAAAUGAGUUGAACACAAUCACGACAAUAAAUCCGCCUCAUUUGACUUGUUAUGUUUUUACGGGUAACAGAUCAAUUGUAGUCUUAGUAAGAUAUUGUUACAUGGCACUUUAGAUAUUCUACUAUUACUAUUGCACCCUUCUUGUAUUAUAUCGUGUACUUAUAUAAUAAUUCUGCAUAUAAAAGCGGCUUAUGUUGUCGUAACUAGCACAAAAUGAAUGGUUAAAAGAAAUUCACAAUGAUGCAGUAUACACUCGGGGAAUCGUUAAUAUUUUAUAUACAAAGACGGGGACUGCAUUCUAUGUUUCUGUGUCUGUAAGAGGACAAUGAUGAGCCGACAAGUCUAUGUGUAUCUUAAUUUUCACAAAUGGAACUUUAGAGUAUUUGUUCUUCUUUCUUAUUUCGAUGAAUUUUGAAUGUUUGUAGAGUCACGUAUAUAAUAAAAAAAAUAUUAAGUAUUAUAAAUAAAAUUCAACAAGUAACUAUUGCAGAUAAGAAAAGAUCUUAUCGAAAGAAAUGCAAUUACAUAGACGCGUUUAAGAAGCUAGCCUGUUAAGAAAGACUCUUAUGAACAGACAUUUUAUACCAAAAUAUGUGCGCAAUGUAUAGCUAAGUGUUUAAAACGUUAUUAGGUAUCCUAAUAUGAAACGACGUUUAAUGUUAAUUUAUAAUUGUCCUAUUAAGGGACCGUAUGUUAUCGCUUUCAGGUGCAUACCAGUAAUAAAAAUGUGCAUAUAUACCAGUAAAAAUGAUCGUAACGAUGAAGAAAUUGUAUCUUGAUUUUUUGAUGCUUUACAAAGAAAUUAUUUUAUUUUCUUUACUUAAGCCGCGUUACUAAACCUUUCGAACGUUUCUUUUACUACUAUUACUAUUACUACUUAUAUUAAUACUAUUACUACUACUAAUAUUAUUACUACUACUAUUAUUAUUAUUACUACUACUAUAUUAUUACUACUACUACUACUACUACUACUAUUACUA